GGUGACCCCUGCUGACCUCCAGGGCCUUCGGGUCCUGUUUGUCCAGGUGGGCCAGGCUCUCCCUGAAGACACAAGGAGGGAUUGAGAAGGGCCUCGGAGAGGAAAUGUGCAAAGAAAUCACCAGGAGGAAUCUGUGGGCUGAUGCACGGGGAAGAAAGCGGUAGCCCCUUAAGCUCUGAAACCCCAAACACCGACCUCAGUUCUCACAAGCUCUAAGGAUGGAUGGCACCAGAUGUUUAAACUGAGAUUAGGGGGGGAAACUUCCACACUUUUUUUUUUUGAUUUAGCAAAUCAGUGCUCCAAACAACGAUAUAACAAACUGCUCAGUCUUAUUAAUGCACAGCUAUAAAUAAAAUACUAGCAUGCAGAACACCACCACGUACGAGACAGUGAUGAGGACCAUCGCCAGGCUGGCUUCCUAAUGACGCAAGAGUACUUAGCAUGUGGGGGAACCAGCAAAUUUAACAGCAAGUUGCUUCAGGAAGAAAACUGCCUGGUCAUGUCCAUAAUCACUGAACAAAUAAUACAUUCAUUUAAUGUCCGUUUGGUUUGUUUUUCAAAUUUCAAGUAAAUUAAGAUUAAAGGAAUCUUGUUAUCACA
rnacentral:sRNA from 1 species